rnacentral:rRNA from 1 species
UACGAAGGGGGCUAGCGUUGCUCGGAAUCACUGGGCGUAAAGCGCACGUAGGCGGCUUCUUAAGUCAGGGGUGAAAUCCUGGAGCUCAACUCCAGAACUGCCUCUGAUACUGAGGAGCUUGAGUCCGGGAGAGGUGAGUGGAACUCCGAGUGUAGAGGUGAAAUUCGUAGAUAUUCGGAAGAACACCAGUGGCGAAGGCGGCUCACUGGCCCGGUACUGACGCUGAGGUGCGAAAGCGGCGGGAGCAAAGAGG